AACGAACGCUGGCGGCAUGCCUAACACAUGCAAGUCGAACGAGACCUCCGGGUCUAGUGGCGCACGGGUGCGUAACAACUGGGAAGUAGCCCUUAGGUAAGGAAUACCUCACCGUAAGGGGUGCUCAUACCGGUUAAUGUCUUCGCACCAAAGAUUUAUGGCGUUUUGAUGGGUGCGCGUUGGAUUCGCCAGUUGGUAGGGUAAAAGCCGACCAACGCGUCGAUUCAUAGCUGGUUUGGUAGGAUGACCAGGCAGACUGGGACUGAGACACAGCCCAGACUGCUACGCGAGAGAGCGGUGGGGAAUAUAGGGGAAUGAGCGAGAGCGUGAUCCAGCAGUGCCGGGUGAGUGGGGAAGGGCUUUGGGUUGUAAAUCUGUUUUACACGGGAUGAUAAUGACGGUACCGGGAGAAUAAGCUCCGGCUAACUACGUG
rnacentral:rRNA from 1 species